GCAGUCGAGCGAACGGAUAAGGAGCUUGCUCCUUUGAAGUUAGCGGCGGACGGGUGAGUAACACGUGGGUAACCUACCUAUAAGACUGGAAUAACUUCGGGAAACCGGAGCUAAUGCCGGAUAACAUUUGGAACCGCAUGGUUCUAAAGUAAAAGAUGGUUUUGCUAUCACUUAUAGAUGGACCCGCGCCGUAUUAGCUAGUUGGUAAGGUAACGGCUUACCAAGGCAACGAUACGUAGCCGACCUGAGAGGGUGAUCGGCCACACUGGAACUGAGACACGGUCCAGACUCCUACGGGAGGCAGCAGUAGGGAAUCUUCCGCAAUGGACGAAAGUCUGACGGAGCAACGCCGCGUGAGUGAUGAAGGUUUUCGGAUCGUAAAACUCUGUUAUUAGGGAAGAACAAAUGUGUAAGUAACUGUGCACAUCUUGACGGUACCUAAUCAGAAAGCCACGGCUAACUACGUGCCAGCAGCCGCGGUAAUACGUAGGUGGCAAGCGUUAUCCGGAAUUAUUGGGCGUAAAGCGCGCGUAGGCGGUUUCUUAAGUCUGAUGUGAAAGCCCACGGCUCAACCGUGGAGGGUCAUUGGAAACUGGGAAACUUGAGUACAGAAGANGAAAGUGGAAUUCCAUGUGUAGCGGUGAAAUGCGCAGAGAUAUGGAGGAACACCAGUGGCGAAGGCGACUUUCUGGUC
rnacentral:rRNA from 1 species